rnacentral:rRNA from 1 species
AUGAUUCCUUGCACUUGGGGAUUAUCAACUAGAUCCAAUUCGAGGGAUCUUACAGGUUCAUUAAUCAAGCCUUGGCAGAAGAACUUGACAAGUUUCCAACAAUUAAAGAUCCAGAUCACGAAAUUGCAUUUCAAUUAUUUGCGAAAGGAUAUCAAUUGCUAG